UACGGAGGGAGCUAGCGUUGUUCGGAAUUACUGGGCGUAAAGCGCGCGUAGGCGGCUUUGUAAGUUAGAGGUGAAAGCCCGGGGCUCAACUCCGGAACUGCCUUUAAGACUGCAUCGCUUGAAUCCGGGAGAGGUGAGUGGAAUUCCGAGUGUAGAGGUGAAAUUCGUAGAUAUUGGGAGGAACACCAGUGGCGAAGGCGGCUCACUGGACCGGUUCUGACGCUGAGGCGCGAAAGCGUGGGGAGCAAACGGG
rnacentral:rRNA from 1 species